rnacentral:rRNA from 1 species
UACGUAGGGUCCGAGCGUUGUCCGGAAUUACUGGGCGUAAAGAGCUCGUAGGUGGUUUGUCGCGUUGUUCGUGAAAACUCACAGCUCAACUGUGGGCGUGCGGGCGAUACGGGCAGACUAGAGUACUGCAGGGGAGACUGGAAUUCCUGGUGUAGCGGUGGAAUGCGCAGAUAUCAGGAGGAACACCGGUGGCGAAGGCGGGUCUCUGGGCAGUAACUGACGCUGAGGAGCGAAAGCGUGGGGAGCGAGCAGG